rnacentral:snRNA from 1 species
CCACCAUCACGUUUCUAUGAAAC